rnacentral:snoRNA from 1 species
UUGCAGCCAAUUAAGCCGACUGUGCUCUUUUCCCCGUGGGGCCUGGUGUGCAGUGGCUGCGGAGAGCAGCCUCCUCGGGAGUGUAUGCAGCCUGUUGCCUGUACAGGUUGCCCUAAGGGACCUCGGACACAGCA